rnacentral:rRNA from 1 species
AUAUAUUGGUCAGUGGCGAAAGGGUUAGUAAUGGUUAGGUAACGUACCCCGUGCUUCAGGAUAACGUCUAGGUGCUUGCACCUUUCCGAAAGGGGCGGUAAUACUGAAUAACAUCAUGAAUCGAUAGCUUUGUGAUCAAAGAUUUAUCGGCGUGGGAGCGGCCUAAUUCCUAUCAGCUUGUUGGUGAGGUAAUGGCUCACCAAGGCAAUGACGGGUAGCGGGACUGAGAGGUUGGCCCGCAACAUCGGGACUGAGACACUGCCCGGACCUCCACGGAGGGCUGCAGUAACGAAUAUUGGGCAAUGGGCGAAAGCCUGACCCAGCGACGCCGCGUGUGGGAGGAAGUCUUUCGGGAUGUAAACCACUGUCAGGGGGAAGAAAGUGUGCUUCGGCACAUUGAUCUACCCCAGAGGAAGUCACGGCUAACUUCGUGCCAGCAGCCGCGGUAAGACGAAGGUGGCAAGCGUUGUUCGGUAUUACUGGGCUUAAAGCGUGUGUAGGCGGAAACUUAAGCGUCUUGUGAAAUCCCUCGGCUUAACCGAGGAAUGGCUGGACGAACUGGGUUUCUUGAGGCAAGUAGGGGUGCGCAGAACUCUUGGUGGAGCGGUGGAAUGCGUAGAUAUCAAGAGGAAUGCCGGUGGAGAAGUCGGCGCACUGGGCUUGUCCUGACGCUGAGACACGAAAGCGUGGGGAGCGAACGGGAUUAGAUACCCCGGUAGUCCACGCUGUAAACGAUGCCUACUAGGUUGUGGUGGUUCUGACGCCAGCACAGCCGAAGCUAAAGUGUUAAGUAGGCCGCCUGGGGAGUACGGUCGCAAGGCUAAAACUCAAAGGAAUUGACGGGGGCUCACACAAGCGGUGGAGCAUGUGGAUUAAUUCGAACCAACGCGCAGAACCUUACCUGGGUUUGACAUGCUUGGAUGCCGCUCUGGAAACAGAGUUUGGCUGCCUUCGGGUGAAACUUGCACAGGUGCUGCAUGGCUGUCGUCAGCUCGUGUCGUGAGAUGUCGGGUUAAGUCCUUUAACGAGCGAAACCCUUGCCGUUAGUUGCCAGCGGGUCAUGCCGGGGACUCUAACGGGACUGCCGGUGUUAAACCGGAGGAAGGUGGGGAUGACGUCAAGUCAUCAUGGCCUUUAUGCCCAGGGCCUCACACGUGCUACAAUGGUCGGAACAGAGCGACGCAAGACCGCGAGGUGGAGCAAAUCGC